AAAAUUAUGGGAGAAACUCUCUUAAUUCAUAAAGAAAAUCACAAGCAGUGACUAGUUCAGAGGGGAAAAACAAAAACAAAAACAAAACAUUAAAAACAAACGCAUCCAAACAGGUCUUAAACUCCAUUCGCAAAGGAAAAACGAAAAAAAGCUCCUAAACGACGCGUUGGUGCCGUUAAAAUCUUGCAAAAGUAUAAAAAUGAAACCCUAAAAAUUCAUUAUGCAGAGAAGAAGACGAGCUAUGGAGGCCAAUCCUGGAAAUCGGAAUACGAAAUUCCAAAUUCAGCUUUAAAGAUCUCUUUUGCAUCUCUAUCUCCUGCAGACGCCUCCACCGAUUAUCCACUUAGGACUCUCUCUGGUCUCAUCUCCUCUUGUCAGACUUCCCUUCACCAUCAUCCCCGCGACGAACCCUACCAUCAACACCUGCAGUUCAACCUCACCAUUGGUCUAAUCCACCCACAGAACCAGGUUUCGGAGGGAGAGGGAAAGGAAGGUGGUGGCACAGAGGAGGGCGGUGCUUAGUAAAGAGAGUGAAAUUGUGGAGCGCCAGAGGAAGAUAAAGGGAAAGAGAGACUCAAUUGCGUCACAAGACUCAGAAAAUGGGGGCAUCCUCUACCGAAUUGUCCAUUUUAUACAAGGCAAGCUUCUGUGGCUUUGAAUGUGUAGCAACCAGAGGUGGUUAGGGGUAGCAAAGGCAAAUAGCGGAGCAAUAUGUACUUUCUUUUAAUCACAGUUCAUUCUCUUGAAAUGGAGCUUAAGCUUUGCAAGCAACAAAUAGCAGGGUUCAAUAGGGCCUAUAGGGAUGAGAAACGAAGACUUGAGAAUGCAAAGGAAGAGUUAGCAUCGAUGAAGUAUCACCCUUUACAAGAUUAUAGGUUGACAAGUAGUGGGGAUAAUGAAUGUAUCAAGAAGAGGAAGAAGUUGAAAAGGUGUUAAACUGUAAGGUUCUAAUUUCUUGUUCUUUUCAUAUUUAGUAAAAAUAUUUCCGACUUAUUAAAGAUAAUGAAUUUUGAGCAUUUGGCUUCCUUUUUAUUUUUCUCUUGUUUGCUCUUUCUCAUGAAGGUCAUAUAUUGGUUUCACUCUGUACUCUAGCACUCUAGUUGAUCUUCUCCAUCUUCCCCACCUGUGUCAAUGAAUUUAACUGUGGUGCAAGCAACACCUUAUGCACCAUCUGCCCCAAUCCAUGUUGUUGUCCUAUGGUCCUUUGUAAAAUGACCUUAUUUCUGUAUACAUAUAUGCUCCAAAGUCUGAACUGACUAAUAUUUGUGUCUAAGACAAUAAUAUAGUUGGAUCCGUAUCAUAUGAGCCAGCUAUAAUUAGACGAUAUUUAGCGACUCUGCAAUUGACAAUUCCAUCGGAACUGCUAACAUUUUAUCAUACCUAUUCCAUGGUUUGAAACUUAUUCUGGUAGAACAUGGUUGUGAAACACAUACUGAAUGCCAUUUUAAUUUUCCAGACAGUUCCUGAAAUACAACUUGAAACAUCACGAGCAGGCAUAAUGGAAGUAGUGGGCUGGCGUUGUGAUUGCUCAUUUCUAGUUGUUACAUCCAACUGUACUUUUUCUCUAAAAAGUUGCUGAAGCUGGACUUAUCUCUACAUGCUAUUCACUAGGUCAGCAACAGCUUAUACCCAAUAGGAAAGGUUAGUCCAGAAUUCGUGAGUGUGAGAAAUUAUGGCAGGUCAUGUAGCAGAAACCCAAUUUGGGCUGCUGAUGUUAAAAUUGUAUUUUGUUAUCAUAUGCAUGUACAGGAAUAGAAAAUGUCGUGCUUCCUCUGUAAUCGAUAAGAAGAAACUUGCUCUGGGUUCCCUGAUCUCCAAGAAUUUCAGGGGAUUUAUACAUUAAUAGCAUGUACAAAUGCUUAAUGAAUGUUGAUUUUCAUGGACAUGCAUUGCAUCAUCAAG
rnacentral:misc_RNA from 1 species